GAUGAACGCUAGCUACAGGCUUAACACAUGCAAGUCGAGGGGAAACGACAGAGGAAGCUUGCUUCCUUUGGGCGUCGACCGGCGCACGGGUGAGUAACGCGUAUCCAACCUUCCCGCAAGUAAGGGAUAACCCGUAGAAAUGCGGCCUAAUACCUUAUGUUUUCCUUAGAGGGCAUCUGAUGAGGAACAAAGAUCCGUCGCUUGCGGAUGGGGAUGCGUCUGAUUAGUUAGUCGGCGGGGUAACGGCCCACCGAGACGACGAUCAGUAGGGGUUCUGAGAGGAAAGUCCCCCACAUUGGAACUGAGACACGGUCCAAACUCCUACGGGAGGCAGCAGUGAGGAAUAUUGGUCAAUGGGCGAGAGCCUGAACCAGCCAAGUAGCGUGCAGGACGACGGCCCUAUGGGUUGUAAACUGCUUUAUAAGGGAAUAAAGUGAGUCUCGUGAGACUUUUUGUCAUGUACCUUAUGAAUAAGGACCGGCUAAUUCCGUG
rnacentral:rRNA from 1 species